GACAGAGGAUGCAAGCGUUAUCCGGAAUGAUUGGGCGUAAAGCGUCUGUAGGUGGCUUUUCAAGUCCGCCGUCAAAUCCCAGGGCUCAACCCUGGACAGGCGGUGGAAACUACCAAGCUGGAGUACGGUAGGGGCAGAGGGAAUUUCCGGUGGAGCGGUGAAAUGCAUUGAGAUCGGAAAGAACACCAACGGCGAAAGCAGCUUACUAGGCUGUAACUGACGCUGAGGCACGAAAGUGUGGGGAUCAAACAGG
rnacentral:rRNA from 1 species